CUUUUCAGUGACUUCCCAUGCAUAAAAUUCGAUUCAAUUGUGUUUGAGUGUGUCGGUUAACCGAGUCAAAUCCGAACCCGAGUCAAAUGUCCGAGUCACUGUUUAGUGGUCUUCGUAGUUCAAUGACUUACGCCCGUAUUCUAAAAGCUCAUUCACAUUCAAUUUGAGCUUCUCUCGAGUGUCAUUGCUGUUUUUGAAUAGCCGGAGG